UGUGCUUUUAGGUUUUAUGUUUCCACUUAUAAACUUUGUUUUUAUUUACUUGAUCAACUUGUAUCAACUGUAUCGUUACUAUAUAACCUGGGUUGCAGCGGGUUAGUGUCAUAUCAGAGUACGGAGACCUUGAAAGUGUGUCUGAUUUGAGUCAUUCCUCAUUCCUUGGAAGUGAGGAUCAUUGUCAACUGAUAACAACUCAAAGUUGGGCUUUUGACUGGCCGUGACUGCUCUUCUGUGAGUUACCGAGUCCUAAUUUGUAGAAUGUGACAGAGAUUGUCUGUAUAAUCUCCUCACUUGGAAGAUUGUCAACACAUUCUAGGGAUGGGCGAUAUGGCCAAAAGAAAUUAUGACGAUAAAUGUUGUAAUUGCAUCAUUAUAAUAAUGCAGUUUAAUUCUCUUCCAUGUGUUGGACACUACAGUCGCUCUUGAAACUGUUUUAUGAUGAAACUUAUUAGUGGAGCUUGUCUCACACAUCGUUAUUUGUUUGUUUCAAUUUAAUAGUUAUGUGUAGAGAUAACAAAUUUAAUAGCAUGAUCAUUUACAAUGAUCAUUUAUUUAGUCAUAUUCUCCAAAUCAUGAUACAAACUGUCUCAGUCCUUUGUUUUGUGUGAUAAAAAACCUUUUCACAAUUCUCUCUCCUAAAAUGUUUGUUUUCAUUUUCCUUAUUGAAUAUUUCACUAAUACUUUUGACGCCUUAGAAUUUGUUGAUGGUCCCUAACUGUUGAUGGUCCUAAACAGAGUCGACCAGUGUCAUUAUCAAAGGUUCCCAGGAUUAAAAAUCUGUUUCAAACUACGAUGGUCAACCAAAGUCCACCACACUCUCAGGUGGACAACUGUCACACGCCGCGGAGCUGUUCAUGUAUGCUGGUCCAAUGCAGCCAGUGAGCCGCGUGUUAAGCAAGUUUAUCGUGAGUUGCAGAAUUGUCAUCGUGCAGAUUGUGUUUGGCGAGAUAUCGUGCACGAUAAGUUAUUGCCCAUCCCUAACAAGUUCAUAAUCCCAAUGUCGUACCACCCAAGUCAGCACACCACAGUCAUGGAUCUAUUCAGUAAAUGUAAAAAAAAAUAUAUUUCUUUAUGUCAUGAUCUUAUGAUCGUAAGUUCGAGGUUCUCUGCUUGCUUGAGAGAUGAGGAAGAGUGUCACUAUUGGUCAGGUAAAAAUCUGUAAAAGUUUCAUUGUGGCUGGUGCCUGGUGAUGUCAUGUUUAAAUAAUUAGAUGACUGCAAUUACUCCUGUUAGAGUCAUUCUGUGUGUGUGUGCAUGGUGGAUGAGUGGUGUGACUUCUCGUAUGCGACGUGACGUGACGUGUGUGUGUGUGUGCACGGUGGAUGAGUGGUGUGACUUCUCGUAUACGACGUGACGUGACGUGUGUGCGUGCGGACGUUGGAAAGUGCAACGGAAGCGUGAGGAGCAUACUAGUUUUUGUCCUUGCUACUGUUAUUUUUGUUUGGAAUACUGCAGUUGUUUUUGUUGUCACCAAGUGAGGGAUUUAAUAAAUCGUAUCAAGGGUAGUGACUGUGGAUAUUUUCGCAUCUCGGAAGACAUGCGUCAGCUACACGCUCAUCCAGAGAAAGAACUCGACGGAAUCACGCUUACAACUCCCAUUCUAAACCUGGGGUCACACUGAAGAGUCUUCCGUUUCACUGCAUGCCUUCAUCUCUGUUAUUUGAACUAUGGCCUUUUGAAAUGGCAACAUUGGUAGUGACACGUGUAUUUCAUAAAAUAAAUAAAUAAAAACUCUUCAGGGUUAAAAAGAAGCUUGUACCCAAGUUCUCAUUAACCAUUUUGUUUUCAAAACAUGAAUAUUCAUUUAUUCAUGGAUUUAUUUAAGAGAAAAUCAUAGAAGGAGAGUAUUCUUCUGACAAAAUAACGACGGACGACUUAAGGUAUGUACACACCGAACGCGACAUUUCUGUCGCUGUAGCGCCAGUCGUCAGCAGCAGGUAGCUUGCUCAAGUCGUCAUUAGUCGCCACCUGUCCGGAUCGAAAGUAGGUCAGUCGCCGGAGGGCGUGGUCUCAAGUUGUUGUGGACGGUGGAUUGAAGAUGGCGGAGCCGGUGCUCAAACUAUCGCUACUUAUUAAUUGAAAACAUGGAAAAAGAGACGUCUCUCGUUUCGUAGCAUUCGCCAGAGCCGCUCACACUGGUGAAUUUAACUUCCUGCUCCAGCAGCGUCACCGGGAUACGGCCGCUUCGUGCGGUACUUCAGGCGGAACCGCCGCGAGUUGGACGACCUGUUGGUCCGGAUCAGUGGCCGAAUACAGGACACCAAGUGCCGCGGUCUGUCCUCUGGCGAACGUCUGACUUCGAUCUUCGGUAACAGGAGACUCAUCACCAACUGCUUCUGUGUUGGUGUGACGGUCUACUUCCAGGAGCUGACCAGAGGACCACGGCCACCGACCACAUAUGUUUUUGUUGAAGAUGAGGCUUCUCCUUUUUGGAAAAAAACAGUUAUCAGUGCAACACAAUUGCUCAUUCAAGAGUCAGCCACCUAUUUUAACAAAGCAUAGGUUCUUGCAUAUAUAUUUCAUCUCUGCAAUAAAACAAAGCUGUGUUCAACUCAAUUUGUUGAUAUUUUGCAAAGUGCUUUUGAUUUUAUUUUUUUCUGUGAAUCCAUUUUUCACAAAAAGAAAUGUUCAUUGUCAAACACUUAAUUUGCAAAAAUAAAGUAACCCCAUUCAUUUAUACUCAUUCAAUACACACAGAAUCACAGUCAAACUUGAAGUGAACUACGUAGGUGUGUUUUGAAGGAUCUUCCUCAGAGGGACGAGGGUCAAGAGAGGCGGAGGAAGUGGGGCAGCAUCCGGUUCUUUAAUGAAACUGUGGCUACAAAGAAAAUAAAUGAAGGGUCCAAAUGGUUUCAGUCAGCUGUUGUUUUGCUUGGUAAAGUAACAUGUACAUUUUAAAUUUAUGUGGAACCUGGAAGGAACGAGGACCUUGAAAACUGUCCCUUCUUCUGAGCUGGGUUUGUGGAGGGAGUACAUGAGUAGAUGUUUGAGCUGAGCUUCAGCAUCGGGGGACCCCUUCCUCUGUAGGUCUCUUCCAUCGGUGUCCUGCACAUAAUGAAAGUUGAGUCCAAUUACAUGCCAUAGUGAUGAGUACGAAUAAAUAAAAUCUGUAUAGGACAGCAAUAGUUAACCUAAAGCAAGUCAUGUCACUAUGACAGUGCUUGAAUGAUGUAGAACAAUAACAUUUAAUUAAAAAAAUAGAAUAAUGCUAGAAAAUGCUAUUUCUACAUACAUACAUACAGGCAGGAGGAAGGUCCAUCCUCCUCCUCCUCAUCAUCACCAACAUCAUGAGUGGAUCCAUCCUCCUCCUCUCCUUAAUGACAGCAUAGCGUGAUUACAUUAUUGUACAAGCUAUACAGAAAAAAGCUAUACAGAAAGCUACAUACAUUUUUAUAUUUAUAUAUUAAUCUAGUAUUCAGAAUGUCCCCACUAAAUGAUCGUGCAAACCUACCUACUACCUUGCUGCUGCUGCAUCUCCAGUCAUGUUGGCCGAGGUCUCUCUUGGAGAUGAAGGGCUCCAGAAGAGAGAGGACGGAGAAGAACGCACACUUCACGGCACUACAGUAGAUGCUGCUGACCACUCCGCUCCUCGGUCACCGUCCUCCCCUCAUAUAAACGGACCCUUCAGGACGUCUCAUCUGAAUUUAGUUAAAUCAGAAACAGUACUUAUUUAUCUCGUCACCAUACAUACGUAGUUUCUACCGUUGCAGCGGUGCAUUCGCCUCGUAAACUCUGUGGACAUUGCGUUUAGGCGAACAUAACUUUAGUAAACUUGCGUAAAUAAAGGUCUCAACUCACCAGGAACGCCACCGUUGUGGCGAACUUUCCCUCCGGACAAGAUUCUUCCUAUUUAUGUUCCGGUGGAAAUUAAAAAAUGCACAAUUUGAGCCACUCUCAGGACGGCGGAAAGUCUGCUUGUAAACAACCGCAGCGAUUUGCUUCUCCUCCGCCGGGACACGUCACUUGCGGAUCUGGUCUCUGAUUGGUCAACGCUCCGCAGGUGGUGAACUUCUGUGACUGUCGCUGUACCGCAGUUGUGUCGUCUUGAGUAGCCGGAGUCGCCGUAUGUAGCUCAAAUCUUGUAGCGUUGCACACCCCAGUCGUGUCGCUGCCAUGUUGGUCACCGCUGGUCGCCGUCAGUCGCCCAACCCCAUUGACUUUCUAUGCAAAUCAGUCGUGUCGCUCGCGGAAGUCGCGUUUGGUCUGUACGUACAGUUACAUUUCUCAAAAUCAACUGGUAUCUUUGAAGCUUGUUACUCUGGAGGAAACGGUCUGAUUUUAGCAGGGAUGUGGCGCCAUCUGGUGGUCAACCUCAAAGUAGCCUAAAGUUUCAGUUGGGUAAAAGCCCUUUGUGGGUGGAUGGGUCAAGACUUUUUUCAAUGAAAUAUUCCACUUAAAUAUCACUGUUUUAGACGGCUGUAGCUUGAAAACCUAGAGAGAUGAAGACAUACUGUAAAAGAAAAGAAUAUUCAGUAUGACCCUAAGUUUGAGAUGGAAGUGGAUUCUAAUUGGCAUAUUAAAAUUCUGCCUGGCGGUGGCUGUAGCACAUAUCUUCUACAGAUGUUUUGUCUGAUCCACUGAGACAUUCUUCCACAUCUCUGAAUGAUGAUGGCUGGGCAUCAUCACCGUCGUUAACAGCAGGACUGUGCAGCCUCCACGACUAUUCUCAAAGUAUUUUCUCCUGCGUUUUCUCCUGUGUCCACUGUUAUAUCCCAAUUAUUUUCUUAUUUCUCUCAUUAAUUUUACACUGUUAAGCUCCAUUAUGCGCAUUGGACUCUCAGCAUACGGACACGCUGUCACUGCACUAGGGCUGAAAUUAGCAACUGUUUUGACAGUUGAGUAGUCACCAACUUCCUCUAUGACUAGUCGACUAGUGGGCAUGCGAUGUGUAGCAGAUAGUGAUAAUUGUUAAAUGUUUCAUUUUUAGUGGCAUGAAAUGUGGUGAAGAUCAAGGCAAGAUAAGUUUCUCCUACUCAAACUUGGAUGUGUAAUUUAAACAACAAUGUAUUAUUGAGUCAAAAUUGAAUAUUAACCAUAACCUUUGUGUCAGAAAGGUUAUGGGGUUAAUUGGGUGAGUAACAUAGCUCUGUAGCAUCAGUUAGCGACUGGGCUCCACUCAGCACGCAGCAGAGCAAAGGAAGACAGUGAUGCUGGAUCGAUUGUACAUUAUACUACUAGUGUCACUGCAGUUCUACUGAGUGUGAGACACAGCUUGACCCUGUGCUCAUUCGGUCUGUUCUCCACCAAUGUUCAACAGAUUUUCCCCCAAGAACCGUGUCAAAUGGCAGCAGAGAUGGAUGGCACACACUUCAAGCCUUGUGUGGAGAGGAAUACAAAGGUAAAACCGUCCCGUCUGAGCAGGUUUUGUGUUUAUUCACUGACGCUACAGUGUGCUAGUUUUCUAUGACCAUUACAUGAUUUCUCAACAAAUGUGUCAGACAAAAGAUAGUGAGAGCCAAUAACUUUGGUUCAAUGAAUAAGAUCUAAAAGGUUACGUUCAGAACGGAAGCUUAGGAGACCAGCUUUCGUUCAUCCCGGUGAUUGCGUCCAAAUGUGUACCUAUCAUGUGACAUGACUUACAGCUGCAAGUGAAAGUAUGUCAACUUUUUAGAAUUACUUGGAUUUCUGCAUAAAUUACUCAUAAAGUGUGUUCUGAUAACAGUCUGCUUAAACUAAUUCUGCAUAAAAAAAAGUUUUCAUGUUUUAAUUACAACACAAGUAGGGUGCUCCGAUCGAUCGGCCACCAAUCAUAUCGCGCGACCUCACCGUGAUCAGUGAAUGCUGAUAACUGCCUGUCAUUGCCGAUUAGGGAAUGGCCAUAUGGACAAAAACAGUUAAUACGAUAAUGAUAAUUAUUAUGACAAAUCCAUUUUCAUUCUAUUUCAUGUGUUGGACUCUACAGUCUCUCUUGAAACUGUUCAAUGAUGAAAUUAAUUUGUGGACUUCGUCUCCAACAUCAUUAUUGUUUAAGUUUAAAUAUAGUAGUUGUCAAGUUAUUUUAGCAAACUCCAGUUUUUGCCCUAACUUGAAAAGGCUUGCUUGACACGGCUUGUCUUGACUUUUAUUAUUUAUCAUUUUUGAGUGAAGAGGUUGAAAACCAUCCAGAAUAAACAAACCAAAUAAACAAAUCAAUUUUGUUAACAAAUAAACAUUAAAUUCUAAAUAAAACUCUUCUUCAAAAUUCUUAUAGUUUCAUACCGGUGGUGUCUUCAGGCCAAGCACAAACUGAAGUUCUUUCACACAGUGUUGCGCGAAUAUGUGCUCCUUGUGCUGCAGCUGAUUGCUGCAGCCUGCCACAGUGAGUCUUGUGAGUCAUUUACUGUUUCCUCACUUACUUUUUUUUUUUCUAAUGGACUCAACACCUACCACUUGACCAACUGGUCCUUGAGCCUAAGGAGGUCAUCAGACUCAUGUUGGUGGUAUUGGUCUGGUCUCUGGGAUAUGUUGCUCUUCCAUGGGUAGAAGGACCACUAAAUGCCGAACAUCUCUGUGAAGGGUUGUUGUGGGGUUGGAUAACUUUGCGCCGGGUAUUCCAUCUACGCUGAAUGUCUGUUUCAUGAUUGUUGCUGGUUGGCCAAGACAGGUCUGAACAAUCACGUCUCGGAUGAUGCCCCUUUCAUCCAUUUUGACAACCACUCUAGCAAGCAUGUACUGGCCUCUUAGGGCAUUUUGAUCUGCAAGCCACACAACGUCUCCAACAGACACAUACCUUUCCCUCGUGUGCCAUUUACUUUUGACAAACAAGUUGGGCCCGGCCAGUUGGCUCCACUUCAGCCAAAAUUUGUUCACUUCAGUCUGGGUACGCUACAACCUUCUGUAAGGAUAUUCGUCGAACUCAAAGGUAGCAGGAUCGCCACUUUAACCGGUGCGACCUAGAAGGAGGGAGUUCGGGGUGACAUAGUCAAUGCAGUCUUCUCGGCUCUGGAUUCUGGCAUCUAUUGGUCUUUCAUUGACUAAGUUGGCAGCCAUGUAAAGGAAUGUUUGGGAAUUCUCCCCAAGUGAAAACUCCAUCCCCUCCAAUAUUAUGCAGAGCCCUUUCUACUACCGCUGAUUCUGCAGCACCGUUUCGAUGGGGGGGCGUCUGCUGGAUGAAUUUUCCAACACCAUUUGGUUCCAUGCUUUGUUGAUUCUGCCUCCAGAUUUGCUCUGGCCAUGUUGUUGAUAAACUGAUGAAGAUCCUUCAGUGCAGGUUUAGCGCCAAUAAAGUCUGCCCUCUCAAUGCAGUGAAACGAUGAUAGGCCAAAAGGAACCCUUUAGAUGACUGGUCACUGACAAUAUCUGUAUGUACAGCUCUUGAUGCCAUGCAGCAGAAGACUAUUCCCCACACUUUUGAGUUUUACUCUUUCCUUUACUUCAUCCAUCACCUGAUAUGGGCCAAACAAAUCAAGUGUGGUAAAUUCAAAGGGUCCAGCAGCGUUUGUACGUUCUAUGGGGAGGUCGCUCAUGAUUUGUUGGCAUCUUUUGGCCCUUAUUUUUCUGCAGGUCACACAACUUCAGCCUUUAAUGAUCCAGGCUUUCUUCCUCGUUCGUUGAAGUGUCCUUGCAACUUCCUCAUGAUUGACUCCAUGCGCCUCCUGAGUUAUCAGUGUGGAAAUCCUGGAAUUAUACGGCAAGACUGAUACUGAAUUAUGCUCCUCACUGUAGGAUUGAAUUCUUCCACCACAAACUAGAAGUCCAGAUGUUUCAUCCUUGUACAUGACGAGCAUCAUCCUUGCUUCUGAAUGGCUCUCAACUUGUCUCCUAACUUCUUGUCUUCAGUGUCAUCAUCAAAGUUUCUUUGUAUUAAAAAUAAGUUUAAAGUACAAUCAUGUACCAAAGUCCACCACACUCUCCACAACUAUCGCAGCGGAGCCAGAGAGCACAGUGCACCUUCGCUGUUUUGUCAUGUUCAUGUGUGCUGGUCCAUUGCAGUGAGUGAGCUGCACAUUAUUCAAACCUAUUUUGAAAUGCCGAGGCAUUUCCAGGCAGCGCUGGUUCGUUUGCAGCACGCUGUUUGCGCAUUGAACACUUACCAACAUUUGCAGGUCCAAGAAUGAUAUUCACAAUGCUAAGCUCAUUGCCAAGAAAUAAUCAUUAAUUUCACUGAGCUAGAUGACCAGCUUUUCUUGGGUCUUUUUGAAAUAGAAUUGAUGAAUUACGCUACUGUUUUGUGUUGGAUGUAGUGUUCUUUAGCCUCCUGAAUCUGAAACUUUAACCGUCUGGAGUGGGAACGUCAAAAGGUGGAAGACCGCUGGUUCUGUGUCACACGUGCUCUGCCCUCUAAUGGACUUAGCUAUUGGUUACCUCCACCCCGAGGCCCCGCCUUGCGCCUGAGAGCGAUUGAUUGGCUUUCCACCCAGGAAGGCUCCACAUCUCCUUAUAACACCCCCUGUUCGCCUUUAUGCUUCUUUCUCACACAGCCUGAGAGUGUGUUGUCAUCAUCAUUGGAUGCUUGGAAGUAUGGAGUCUUUGACUCACUGCAAUGUGCGUAAGGCAUGGAUGCCUGAAUUCGACGACCACGCCGCGUGUGUCAAGUGCGUUGGCAUAUUCAUCUGCGUUAUUUGACCUGUUGUCUGGCUCGUGUGGCUCUGCCAGCUGACGAGCGAGAGAAGUGAGCGGCCAUUCUGGAGGUAGCCCAGUCCAGUUCCCCUCCCCCCGCGGAGGCCUCAGCGUUGUCUCUCUCGACGGCUAAGCGAUCCAAGAUGUCUGACAACUAAACCAAGAGAUCCAAGAAGUCCUCCAAACCUUGGGAUGAGUACAAGGAGUCGGAUGAGAGGAGAGAGUUUGAACAAGAGGAUCCGGGGUCCGGCCAGCCCUGUCGACCGUAUGUUUCCCCUGGACGACAUGCGCGGGCUAUCGAAGAAGGCUGUCGUGAGGCUCAAGAGUAGUUAUGCCGCCUUCCUCGGACGACGAGAAAUUGGCUGAUUCUUCCUGCUCCAUCUAUGACUGACUUGGACAUGAAAAGCUCCCUCAAAUUUAAGACUCUAGCUGCAGCCUUUGCAGCGUAUUGGGAAGUUGACUGGGUUGACUGAAGAGCCGGGGUCCUCAACCUUGGCGAGUCUUGGUGGGCCUGUUUGGACUCUUCCGACUGACAGUUGUUCGGUUGGACUGGGCCUUCACCUGCAGCAUCCAGGUCAGAGCUCUCGCUAACAUCAUGGCUAUACUGGCGGGACCGUUUGGCCUUGUUCAAGGACGCUUUCCAUGCCGAAGACGUACAUGAAGUUCAGGCGGCGUCGGUGGCAGACCUCCUGUGGAUGUCACGGGCCAUCAUGAAGAUCGGGAAUCGGGUUUGUGCUUCCUCAUUCUGAAGAAGUCCGUGGUCUGAAACCAAUUCUAGACCUGUGGGGUCUGAACCAGUACAUUGCCAGACGAACGUUCAGGAUGCUGUUGGCAGGCCAGCUGCUGGAGUGCAUCAAGCACGGAGACUGGAUGACGUUGUUCGAUCUGACGGAUGCUUAUUUCCACGUUCCCAUUCCACCCCGUCACAGGCAACAUUUCCGCAAUGGGGGAGACAUGCCCCCUUUGGAUACUCAUUGACGCCUCAAACCUUAACUCGGGUCAUGGAGGUGGCGCUGGAGCCGCGGGAUCAGGAUUCUCACAUGUCAGGACUGAUUCCAGCCUCAUCCAGGGAGGAAGUGGAAGCCCACACCACUGCUGUUCUGCCACAUCAAGUGUCUGGAGUUUGCGGUGAAUAUGCAGAAGAGCGCAGACAACCUGCACCCAACUGCAAUACUUGGGAAUCUGGCUAGACUCGUUGACGAUGACAGCUCGACUCUCAUAUGUGAUGACCAUAUCAUUUCUCACCUAGCUUUGCAAGGUAAAAAGCAGUCUUGAGGUGCGAGCGCAUGAUGUAAUGUCGCUGCCGGGUCUGAUGGCGGUAGCGUAUCCGGUUGUGCGACUGGGGCUCCUGGAUAUGAGACGUUCGCAGAGAUGGUUUUGCCAGCUACGACUGCAUUCUGUGCGGGCCAAGCGCAGGUUACUAACAGUAACUGUCUGCACAAGUCAGCCAGGAUCUGAGACUCGGCGGACCGUCUGACGGGAGUGACUCUUGGAUGCAUCCCGCGCAAUGUACACGUGUUCAUAGGCGCGGCUCUGAUAGGUUGGUGGGGGCCAUGGACCAGUGCAGAGUGGGUGCUGUUGUACGCAUUUCCGCCGCUGCUGUUGAUGCUACUGCUGGAUCGCGUGAGGAUGCAGGGUCUCUCUGUGUUGGUGGUGCUGCCAGAGAGUCCAGGCACCAGAUGGUUUCCGAAUCUGGCGACACUGUCGCUAGGGACCCUGUGGCCGAUCCCAGACUCCUACCCUGUGCUGGGCCGUCCUCCCUAGUUUUGGUGAUUGAAAGGGUGAGACUGAGGGUAUCAUCCAGAGUUCCAGGGCACAUUCCACUAAUAAGGGUUAUACGUCAAGAUGGGCUGCAUUUGUGAAGUGGCGUGAGGAAUGGCACCUGUGAACCACAAGUUUGCCCUAGUCAGGGACUCAGUCACUCUACAGCCGAACCUGGCGCUUUGUCCCUAGGUGAUCACCUCCUCCUUCAGGUCUCAGGUGCUGUCCCUUCUGUCCUUUUUCCCACCCCAGCACAAAGACUACGAGGCUGUUCAGUCACACAGGCUGUGCGCCAUUCGGGCGCUGGCUUGUUAUGUAGAGCUGUUGUUGGGACAGUUUUAUUCGUUAGUCAUGGGCUCGCUCACAGGCUUUGUGAGGCCAUUAUCAAAGCAUAUUGUGAAAAGGGAACAGAACCUCCUUCAGGCCUCGUGGCCCACUCAACAAGAGCAGUUUCCUCAUUGACUGCACUGUUUAAAGAAGUGGCCAUGGAGGACACAUGCCGGGAAGCGUCUUGGUUGUUUCUAAACAAGAAUGGAGUUCAUGAGUUGACAUCUCAGAGGACGCAGUUGCAGUCCAAAAAAGAAAAACAUUGCUACACAUUUGAAGUUUGAAGCAUCUGAAUGUUCCACAGCUCUGUACUGGUAAAUAUUCUGUGGACAGAUUAAAUCAAAACAGAGUUGUUUGGAAAGAACACACACCGCUGAGUGUGGAGAAAAACAAGCAUAGCACCCUGACCUUAGAACCUCAUCUCAACUGUGAAAUAUGGUGGAGGGACCAUGGUUUGGGCCUGGAUGGCCUCAGGGCCUGUGAUCAUCAACGGAAAACGAAUUCCCAAGUUCAUCAGGACAUUGUGCAGGAAAAGUAAGACCAUCUGUCAACCAACUGAAGCUCAACAGAGGAUGGCUGAUGCAACAGGACAAUGAUCUGGAGCAUAAAUAAAGUCAACAACUUAGUGGUUUCAACUGAAGUAAAUGUGCCUUCUGGAAUAGCCCAGUCUUGAGUCCUGACCUCAACCUGAUUGAGAUGCUGUGGCAUGACCUCAAGAGGGCAAGUCGGACUAGACAUCCCAAGAACAUUGCUGAACUCAAGUUUUGUGCAUAGGAAUGAUCUGAAAUUCACUUGUGCAGGUCUGAUCUGCAACUACAGGGAUUGUUUGGUUGUGGUUAUUGAUGCCAAAGGAGGAGGGUCAACCAGUUAUUAAAUCAAAUGGUUUUACAUACUUCAUCCACUCUGCAUUGUGAAUGUGCACAUGCGUUCAAUAAGCACAUGAAAACGUCUACAUUAUUAUGUGGUAUUAGUUUAAGCAGACUGUAUAGUGGUGCGGUUUAGAUGAUCUGAACAUAUUUUAUGACCAGUAUGCAGAAAACCAAGUAAUCCCAAAGGGCUCACAUGCCUUUUAUUACAACUGUAAAUAUCAGCACUAUGUGAAGUCUGGCCUAUGUAUGACAUUCUCAAUUAUAGUCUAUCUUACUCCCAAAAUGAAAUAUAUAUGAUGAUGAUGUAUAAUGUUGACCAGUGGACCACAACUUUGUUAUCUCUAAGGAGGCAAGUUACUCAAGUAUGCAGUGAAUUUAGUUGGUGACCGGUUGUGGUUAAUUUUGUUUUUGUGCCUUAUCUGAAAUCACUUACGUAAUGUCGAUGAGGACAGACUUGUGGAUAAGUGUCAUAAUGCCCCUGUCUUAUGUGUUGAAAGGUGCCAAAUUUCCCUGCCAUCGCCGUUUUAUGUAGGUCUCAUAGUUCUGUCCAUUUUUUCAUGUGUUGUAAAUUUUUGUACACACGCCGAUUUUUUCAGUUCUAUCACGCCUUUAUUCUCCUUAGUUUUCCACAUCCCCCAUUUAAAGAUGAUUGUUGAUAGUUAAAUAUCCUCACUGCGUGACCAGUAAAGGUACUUCAACCUGCACUGGCCAAUUAAAUUGCAUUAAAGCAAAUAAUGAACUUUAUCACAAUAUUCUAAUUUUCUGUGACAGUCUUGUAUAUCACACUACUGUUAUGCUAAUGCAAACAUACAGGUCUCUGGUUUAAGCCAUCAAACCAGCCAGAGAAGCAAGUUUGAGCGUAGCCUAAAGGGUCCUCUGAAGUAUUCUAAGACUUUUUGCCACCACCGAUUGGAAUGUACUCAGACAAGCAGCCAUCUUCAACAGCACUACAGAUUUUCAGGAGUACUAAGAGACUGUCACUGCGUACAUGAGAGUGCAUGAAUGAUGUUGGUCACCAGAACCAUCUGCAUCUGGGAAGAUCGGAAACAGUGGCUCACAGGGGAGGUGUACAGGCUCCUGCAGGCCGGUAACACUGCCAUCAGAGACAAUCUGUCACGUGGCAUUAGACUGGCCAAGAGACAGCACAUCAAGGGAACCACUGACAGAUUCUCUGACAGCAGAGAAUGUAGGAACCUCCAUCCAUCCAUAGUCAUCUGCUUAUCUGUUGCCGGGUCGCGGGGGCAGCAGCUUCAAGAGGUCACGCCAAACGCCCUUCUCCUGAGCGACAUCCACCAGGAUCAUUGGGCCACCAAACCGCAAACCCUCCUCACCAGAGCUGCGCCUCGAAAUCCUGUCCAUGUAGACCAAGAACAGGACUGGAGACAAAGCACAACCCUGAAUACAUCGGACUACAUUGGAAUACAUCGGACUUGCAUCCAAGUAUACGCACACAACACCCGCCCUGGGAAUACAGAGACUGAACAGCCCUCCGUAGAGAACCACUCACCCCAUGCUCCCGAAGCACCUCCCACAACCGAUCUCUGGGCACCCGGUCAUACCCCUUCUCCAAGUCUACAAAGCACAUGGACGCGUUGGCCAUACUCCCAGGAACCCUCGAGAACAGUCGCAAGAGUAAAGAGUUGGUUCGUCGUUCCACGGCCAGGACAGACUCCGCAUUAUUCCUCCUGAAUCCGAGGUUCAAUUAUCGAUCGGACCCUCCUUUCCAGCACCUUAGAGUAGACCAUACCAGGGAGGCUGAGGAGUGUGAUGCCUCUGUAAUUUGCACACACCCUCUGGUCCCCCUUUUUAAAUAGAGGGACCACCACCCCCGUCUGCCACUCAUCCGGUACCGACCCAGAUCUCCACGCAAUGUUGAAGAGGCGUGUCAGCCAAGACAACCCAUCAACACCCAGAGCUUUCAGCAUUUCAGGACGAACCUCGUCAACUCCAGCAGCCUUGCCACCGUGCAGUUUUUUGACUACCACAGUAACUUCAGCUCGAGAAAUUGACGUAGACUGCCCAUCAGCCUCCAGCUCUGUCUCCCUUACAGAGGGUGGAAUGUCCGUAUUCAGGACUUCCUCAAAGUACUCUUUCCAACGUCCAAUUACAUCCUCUCUUGAAGUCAGCAGUAAACCGUCCUUGCUGUAAACAGCUUGAAUGUUCCGCGGCCUCCCCCUCCUGAGGUGCUUGACGGUUUUCCAGAAGCGCCUUGCUGUUGAUCGAAAGCCUUCCUCCAUGGACUCUCCAAACUUCUCCCACACCCGCUGCUUGGCCUCAGCAACAGCCGAAGCCGCAGCUCUUCGAGCCAGACGGUACCUUGCAACUGCCGCAGGAGUCGCACAAGACAAUAGGUCCCGAUAUGACUCCUUCUUCAGUCGGAUGGCUUCCCUGAUCUCUGGUAUCCACCAAGAUGUCCUUGGGUUGCCGCCCCUUGAGGCACCGAUGGCCUUCAGGCCACAACUCGCAACUGAAGCUCUUUCAGGCUGUGCCCGGCCCGGUUACGUGGGUAGCCCGGCCACCAGGCGCUCACCGACAGGCCCAACACCCAGGCCGGGCUCCAGGUGUGGGCCCCGGUAUCCCUCCGGGCCGGGUACUCCUUUUCCAUUUUUCCUUCUCCAUAACGUCGUAUGGACUGCACUUAGUCUGACCUCUUAUCAGGGACCUGUUUGUCAAGGAUGAUCGAAGGAUGAUCGUACCAGGAGCACAAGGCUCCCAACAACACAGCUCCCUGAAUCAUUGAGGUACUCAAACCCCUCCACCACGAUAAGGUGACGGUCCACGGGGAACCUGUGAUGGGGGAUUCAUACGAUCACAGACUACAAGCUUCCUACUCAGACUUGUGACCCCUUAGUUGAACAAGCUGAAUGACUUCUUCGCCUGCCUUGAAGCUGAUAACACCCUGGUCCAGAAGAUCCCGCCUCCUCCUGGUGAUCCAGUCUCAAUAUUAUCCCUGGAUAGUGUGCAGCAGGACAAACGCACGGAAAGCCGCUGGACCAGACAACAUUCCUGGCCUUGUCCUAAGAGAUUGUGCUGCAGAUCUCAGAGAUGUCGUCACAGACAUCUCAAACACUUAACUGAGCCAGGUAGUUGUGCCAACGUGCUUCAAAGCCACAACCAUCAUUCCUGUCUCAAAGUUGUCAACAUCCUGCAGCUAUGAUUAACACCUGGCGGCACUCACCCCAUUCUCACGAAGUGCUUUGAGCGACUGCUUGUGCAGCACAUCAAGUCUGCCCUGGAUCCCUUCCAGUUCAUAUAUCGGCUCAACUGCUCCACUGAUGACGCCAUCCACUCAGCUCACUCCCAUCCGGAGACCGGGAAUGCAUACGUCAGAAUGUUGCUCAAUUAUCCCCAGCAACCCAUCUGCAACACCUCCCUGUGUAACUGGCACAAGGUGCAAGGACUACUAUAUCCACCCAAAUAUAGAGAAAAUAAAGGAGAGUAGUGAGGACCUCAGGAGAGUUCCCCAGCUAACCCAACACACUAAGACAUUUGUCAGAUUUAGUAAUCCAUGCUGCAGUGUGCAGCUGCACCAGGGUAGCAUGGAAGCCAGUGUUGCUGUUUCUAAGCGUUCGCUCCUUAAACUACUCGAUCAACAGGCAGUCGUAGACUGACCGGAGAGGUGGUAGCGAUAGCGACAAUGAAAUGAAAUGUUAUCUAGUAAACAGUUAAUAUGGUUGAGCACUCUCUUACUUGUAAGUGGGGACAGAAAGAAACUUCUAUGUCUAUGUGAUACAUCCAGCUUAUCCAACAUGGCCUGCAACCAGCUUCUUACAACUAUGGCACUUCAGGUACUUUGUUCCCUUGAAGUAUCAGCUGUUCCUGAUGAACAGCCUCCGCACUGUCUUGUACUAUCUGGCAGCCCAGAGGUGGCUCUUAUGGGGGUAGUCCCAUGGCCUGUAAGCCAUCCACAGGAAGAAAUGUGGCUGGAAGAGGGGGUGGGAUGUUCGUGAAGUUGUGGCCUGUCCAACAUGCUGGUGGAGAAAAUCACUGUUCUCCUGUGUCAGGGACAGCGGACCCAUGGCUGCGUUGUUUACACUCUGGCUCAGCUGAUUGAACUGUGGACGAACACUUCUAUAAUGACCAGACAUUUUUAUAUUCUGGAGGAGAUUUGGAGAAGGACACAUCAAGGUUGCUGAGGAAAGAAGAGCCAACAGAACCAGCAGAGAUGGGAAACGUGGAUGAGACAACAGAGGCUUACAAAGUAGAGGUUCAAGCUGUUUCUCCCCUCAGUUACCAUGGGCAAUGUGAGGUUGUUUGCUGGCAAAAUGGAGUUGACAACAUUAGUCAGGAAUCAGGUGGAGUACUGGGAGUGUAGUUUAAUGUGUAUAACUGCAACAUGGCUGCACCAGGAUAUUACUGAUGACAAUGUGGCCAUUGUCACUGUUUAUAUUUCUCUCUCUGCCAACCCGACCAAUCUGACCACAGUGAGUGAAGCCCUUCUCACUGUGAUAGCCCAACUACAGACUAGAAAUCUGAAUGCUCUUAUUGCUAUCUGGGGUGACUUCAGUCACACCACCAUGGACAAGAUUUUAUUAAACUUCAUGCAAUAUGUGAUCAGAGAGGAGAGGAUUCUGGAUCUAUUGUACAUUAAUGUGAAAGAUGCAUAUGAGUCGUCUCCUGGAAGGACUCGCAGACUGCAUCACUGGUUACUUGAACUUUUGUGUGGACUCCAUUGUCCCAGCUGCGACCGGCCAAUGCUACCCAAGCAAUAAGCUGUGGGGAACAUAAGACAUAAAGUCUAUACAGAAUGUGAACACAGCGACUUUUAGGGAUGUCUACAAAGAGGCAAUGAGAAGGAUCCAACAUCACCUGAUGCCGAAAAUUAGAGAGGUCAAGGAAGAGUACAAGGAAAAGCAGGAAGGGGACAAAACAACAUCGAAGAAGUUUGGAGAGGGACGAGGACCAUCACUGGUCUUGGGCCAUCCGACGGCAGAGGAGCUGGGGGCAGUGUGGCGCAGGCAAACAUACUAGGUUAGUUCUUUAACUGAUUCAAACUUUACCACAGCCUGCUAACAUCUUCAAUAACACUUCCGUUACCUGUUAUCUAUCGCCACCUCGUCCAUCCCCUCCCACUCCUCACAUCCUUUCAUCUCCUUACACCUACUCCUCAUGGCAUUGGCUAUUCAGUAACCACCAACCCUGCCAUCACCUCCACCCCAGUUCUACAAUGAACAUCAUGUCAUGUCCGUACAUGAAUUGUCCAUUCCUUUUUGUAUUUUCCUCCAUGUGUCUGUCUUGUGCUUUUAGUUUGUUAUCUGCGGUUGUUCUCGUUUCCUGUUCCUACUCUCUCUCUAGUUUCAAGGGCAAUACAGCUGGCAUUCAUUCCCUCAACAGUCCUUACAUGGAUAUCUACCCAUCAACGGCAGCUCCAGUUGCCUGAUGGUUGCCUCUCGCACCGCUAUGGUAAAGUACAAGACUUUCAUGCGCUAGAUUUCCUCUCUGACCUUUUCUAGAUUUUUCUGUGCGCUUGAAUUUCUAUUCAGCCGUAUCCUGAGUUCCUCGUUCUGUCUCGCUCCGCUUUCGUUUCUCCUUUACGCCAUUCAGUCCGCGUGUGAGCUGUUUACAGUCUUACUUUUCAUUUAUAUCUCUUUCAUUAAUAACAUGUGGGUUAUUCCCUGUGUUUGUGUGUUUCUCCACCACUGAGCGCUCACUGUUAAUUGCCACCUUGUGAGCUUGACUUCGACUGUGGUUUGUGUUCUUCCAGGUUUAGGCUUUGAAUUCUUAUUUGCUUUUCUUAUGUUUUCAGAUUCUUGUUCCCAGUCCGUGUUCUGGUUCCGGCGCCUUAAGUUGUCGUCAUUUGUCUGUCUACUUAUUGUCUAGUCAUUGAUUAGAUCUUUUUAAUUUACUCUCGUCCCCCGUGCCUUUUAUUGGCCAGCACUUCGUGCACUUUGGUCCAUUCCUCUGAAAUAAUGCCAGCACCAUCUGGCCAUGUUUUGGACCCAGCAGUUGUUGCUGGUAUGCGGAAGACAUUAGGCGUCCAGGGCUCGAGAAUCGGAACUCCUGAAAGAGCUGGUCAGAGCGUUAUGGAUCAAAUGCAGAGUAAACUAUCUGUCCGCUGAUUCCGGUACUCCCACGUCAGUCUCAGCAGCUAACUCUGCAGUCAAACCAGCACACCCUGUUAUCAGCAGACGUGAUCCGACCAUCCCCACAACAACCUCCAACCCCCUGGAGGUUCAUGCUGGCAAAACAGGGUUCUGUAAUCACCUUUUUUUUUCCCAGUUCUUGAUUUUCAGCCGUCUUCAUUUACAACGGGCGGAUCCAAGGUGGCUUAUUGCCGAAACCUCCUCUGUGACCUCCACCCGUCUCCACCAAAAGGUUUGCAGUCUAAUUCCUACAGAAUUGGUUGUAACAGCUUUUCAGCUUCAUUGUGUGAAAACAAUAGUGUGUCUAUGUAGGCCUUAAAGACUGUGGUAAAACACCCCUGGGACACUUUGAGUACCGGGUCAUGCCAUUGGGGUAACCAACGCUCCAGUGAUUUUCCAAGCCCUGGUCUACGAUGUGUUUAGUGACAUGAUCACUCACUAUGUUUAUAUCUAUCUUGAUGAUAUGUUAAUCUUUCCAAAGGGGCAGGAGGAACAUCAAGAACACCUCUGUUAAGUUAUUCUGAGGCUGCUGGAGAUCAAACUGCUCUAUAAGGCUGAGAAAUGCGAGCUUCACAUGAAAUAGGUUAGCUUCCAGGGUUUCAUCCUGGCUGAGGGACGUCUCAUCCCUGAUCCUGUCAAAAUAGAGCUGGUCGUGAACUGGAAGACUCCCACCAGCUGCAAACAGCUCCAACAAUUUCUUGGUUUCUUCAGACGCUUCAUUCGCAACUAAAGUAAUGUUGCCGCUCCUCUAACUGCUUUCACUUCCUUCAAAGAAACAGUUCAGCCGAACAAGCUUUCUUCAUGGUCCGGACUCUGUUCUCCUCUGCUCCGGUCUUACAACACCCCGACCCACAACACUAAUCGUCGUCGAGGUGGUUGCCUCCGACUCUGGAUUGGGAGCAGUCCUUUCCCAGAGAGACGCUGAUGAUCAAAAGGUAGACCUAUGUGCCUACUUUUCCUGUAGGCUGGCUCCAGUGGAAUUUAUCUAUGAUGUUGGAAGCUGGGAGCUGUUGGCAGUGGUGGCUGCGCUGCGGGAAUGGCGGCAUUAGCUGGAGGGCACUGAAACACCCUUCAUGGAGCUAAAUGCCUAGAAGAACCUGACAUAUUUGCAGACCGUCAGACGCCUCAAUUCCUGUGAAGCUCACUGGGCCCUGUUUCUCGGCUGAUUUAACUUCUCCAUCACAUAUCGCCCAGGAAGUCUCAAUGUUAAGCCUGAUGUCCUCGCUCGACUCCACAAACGUGCCACCUCCUUCGACGUUCGAGACCAUCAUCCCCGCUUCCUGUGUCAUCCGUGCCGCCAGCUGGGACAUCGAGAAGAGUGUCCUGAGGACUGAAAGCUCCACCCAGCUCCCAGUCCUGGUCCUCUAAAUCGCCUAUUCGUCCCAGGAACAACAAGACCACAGGUUCACCAGUGUGGUCACUCAUCCAAGCUCGCCUGUUACCCUGACUCUAUGUAAGACUGGCAACACCUGCAACCAAACCAAGUCAUCCCACCGUCCUGCCAGGCUCCUGCAACUUCUACCACUUCCCGGCUCCCCGGUCACACACCGGCUCCCCGGUCACACAUCGCUAUGGACUUUGUCACAGGUCUUUCUCCGUCCGCUGGGAAAACUAUAAUCAUGAUGGUGGUGGACCAUUUUUCGAAAAUGGCUCACUUCAUUCCUUUGUUGAAACUUCCUUCUACCCUUGAAACCGCUGAACUGGUGCUCCACAUCUUCUGUCUCCACAGAUUUCCAUGUGAUGUGGUCUCCGACAGGGGCCCAUAGUUUUCUUCUCAAGUCUGGCGUGCCUUCCUUAGGGCACUGGGCGCAUCUCCGAUUCUGUCCUCUGGAUACCAUCCACAGACAACUGGUCAAACCGUAAGAGCUAAUCAGGAUCUUGAGUCUGCCCUCUGAUGUGUCUCCAAUCAAGGUCCCUCCGCUUGGUCAUCUCAUCUUCCAUGGGUGGAGUACGCCCACAACAGCUUGACCUCCCCCGCUACGUGUAUGUCUCCAUACAUGAUGGCAUAUGGGUACAACCUCCCCUGUUUCCAUCCCAGGAGGCUGAAACUGCAGCCCCUUGAGUCAUCCAGCACCUCCGCCCGCUGCUGAGAGACAUGGUCCUGUGCUUGGACGGCUCUCUUCUAUUUGUCGAGCACUGAGGGACGUGGUCCCGUGCUUGGAUGGCUCUCUUCUACACUGUCCCGCUGCUGAGAGACAUGGUCCUGUGCUUGGACAGCUCUCUUCUACUCUGUCGAGCACUGAGGGACGUGGUCCCGUGCUUGGAUGGCUCUCUUCUACACUGUCGAGUAUAGUAAAGAGACUUGCUGACUGCAGUCGAAUUCCUGCCCCAACCUACCAGUCCCUACGACAAGGUGUGGCUUUCAACCCCGACCUACAACGACUGGGUGAGUCCCGCGAGCUCUCACCAAGAGACAUUGGUCCUUAUAAAGUCCAGACGAUCAUCAAUAACUUGGUUGUCUGACUGAAACUCCUGGAUUCCCUACACGUUCAUCCUACUUUCCAUGUGUCUCUCCUCAAGCAUAUCGCCUCAUCCACACUCCAUGCAGCCUCUGAAGCUUCUCCACCCACCAUCACCGUUGAUGAACAUCCAGCUUACAUGGUGAACAAGAUCCUAAUCAGCAGACAAUGUGGCCUAGGGGUCCAAUACCUCGUCAACUGGGAAGGCUACGGUCUGGAGGAAUGUUCAUGGAUCCCCCGGUCGCUCAUUUUAGAUUCCUCCUUGAUCUCUGACUUCGAUGUUAAAUGCCUCAAUCAACCCAGCAAAGUGCCAAGAGGCCCUUCUUCAGGGGGGUUAUUGUCACGUCCGCACAGAAAUUUUCUGUUCAUUUUUGUAUUUUCCCUGUGUUUCUGUCUUGUGCUUUUAUUUUGUCAUUCCUAGUUGUCUUCAUUUCCUGUUCCUGCUCUCUCGCCGGCUUCACGGGCAGCUGGCAUUCAGUCCAUCGUCAAUCCUCCCAUGGAUAUCUACCAGCUCCAGUUGCCAGAUGGUUGCUUUUUGUUCCGUUACGGUGAACUCCUACAAGAUGUCCUGCUCUUAUUUUCCUCCCUACCUAUCUAGACUUUUCUGCACGCUUAAAUCCCUAUUCAGCCGUAUCCUGAGUUCCUUGUUCUUUCUUGCUCCGCUUUCGUUUCUCCUUAGCGCCAUUCAGUCCGUGUGUGAGCUGUUCUAUAGUCACCUUUUAUCUCCGACGUAGCAUAUUCCUCGUGUAUGUAUUACCCCUCCACCAAGUGUUUUUUGUUUAUUGCCACCACGUGUUCUGUGUUCUCUCAGUCAUAGGUUUUGAAUUUUAUUUAGCCUCUGUGUUUUCAGAUUCUUCCUCAGUCCCUACGCGUUGUUCCCGGUCUGCGUAGUGGUUCUGGCGCCUUAAGCGAUAGUUAUGUCUCUCUACUUAUUGUUGUUCUUUGAAUGAAUGUUAUUAAGAUAAUCUUGUCUCCCAUGCCCUCUGUUGGCCAGCACUUCCUGCACUAGGGUCCAUUCCUCUGAAACACCUCAAAGCCAAGGCGGUCAGAAGAAAAUCUGGGAAACUUCAUGUCAGCUCAAGGGUGUUAAAAGUCUCUGCCACCCAUCUGUAUGGAGUUCCUCCAGUAUGUCUACACAGCAAGUUUGAGCUUGCAGACGGGUCCUGUGUUGUGGAGGACAACUUGCCUCAUGCUUGUACUGAAAAGCCUGCGGCCCAAUGGCUCAAUGGACUACUAGCCUCAGUGUCUGAGGUGUCAAGGAGAAUGUUUUGUAAAGUGAAGGACAUUCUGGACCGUGUCUAACUCACUCCGCAAUAUCAUGAUCAAGCAGCAGUGUUCUUGCAGCACCAGACUGAUGACACCACGAUGCACAACUUGGCGCCACAGGAAAUACUUACCUGUGGCCAUCAAACUGCAUGACUCAUUUUUGUUUAUCAUGUUUGUUGAGUACCAUUCCCUGCUAUGCAAUUUUUGUUUGAGUUGUGGUUGUAAUGGAAAGUAAUGUCCAUCUGGAUAAAUAGUGAUUCUGAUUCUGACUGCAAUGGCUGGAUGACAGAGUGAGUUUCAGCUGAUAAAUACCAUUAUUCAUUUAAUGGAGUUCAAUGGAGUUCAUAACACACUGGCCCAAAUGAUGAACUCACUAUUCUAGGAGCGUGUUCAUAUGGAAGAGGAUGAGGCCAUUGCAGAAAAAGAUGGCAGUUUGGAUGUUGAAAUGAGUCAGAAUUCUGACACUGAAAUCUGAGAAUUAAUCUGAUAUAAGAUAUCAGAUUACGCACUGUCUCAUUUCAAUUUUCAGUCAUGAUGCAGUGUCCAGAUUUCUUAUGUAAAUGAGGAAUGCAAAUUUGCGAUUUAUUUGGCUGAGCAGCUGGGACUCACUCCAACGAUCAUCCAGCCACUGUGCUUUUCAUUAAAUUUCAUAUACCAAAAUUCGAAUGAUACAGGAAAGAUUAGCAUGGCAACCUAGCAGAUUAAAGGCAGCAUUCUUCACAAAGUCACUUUUGUCACAGCAAAUUUCAGUCAAGAUGUGUUGACGUGUCCGGGUUGUUAACCAAAAUAAGGAACGCUUCACGAAUUUGCGUGUCAUCCUUGCGCAGGGGCCAUGCUAAUCUUCUCUGUAUCGUUCCAAUUUUAGUUGACGUAACAGCGAACUGUUACGUUCAGAAUAUGCUCUCUGAAGGCUUAAUAUAGGUGUGGUUGGAGUCAUCCCCUUGAGUCAUGGUGCAGCACUCGCUGCUAAUUUGAGGUCCAGUGGCCAUGUUCUGCCACUUCUCCAAGCAGGAAACCAUUUCUCAAUUGGUUAUGACACAUUGAGCACCUACAUGGAUGUCAUUUUGUUGAACAGCUUAGUAGAAAUAUGAAGGUAAGUGAAAUUACAGAGGUUGGAUGAUUGUUGGAGUGAAACCCAGCUGCUGAGACAAAUAGGCCCCUCCCCCAAAAUAUCAACAGGGUUUGCUGUGCUCAGACAACUAUCAUUCAGGUCACAGUGCUCAUACUGAGAAGGUGAGACUAUUCUAGGAGCAUGGUCAUUUGGAAUUAGGGCCACUGCAGAAUUCUCCCUUGAAAGUCUGAAUUCUGAUUUAGGCUGAAUUUUCAUGAAGAAUUAGAAUUCUCACUUGUAAGUCUUAAUUCUCACAAUAAUGAUUUGAGAUCAGAGCCAGAAUUCUCACUUCAAAGUAAAAGAUUUCUGAGAGUAAAGAUAUUUUAUCUGAAAUGACAUCAAAGGCAGUUGGUCAUACUAGAUUAAAGUCAGAAUUCUUCACAAAUUCUCACUUUUGUCACUGCAAAUUUCAGCCAAGCUGUGUUGACGUGUCCUGGUUUGUAACCAAAAUAAGGAACGCUUCACGAAUUUGCGUGUCAUCCUUGCGCAGGGGCCAUGCUAAUCUUCUCUGUAUCGUUCCAAUUUUAGUUGACGUAACAGCGAACUGUUACAUUUUGCAGAUGCUCUCUGAAGGCUUAAUAUAGGUGUGGUUGGAGUCAUCCCCUUGAGUCAUGGUGCAGCACUCACUGCUGAUUUGAGGUCCAGUGGCCAUGUUCUGCCGCCUCUCCAAGCAGGAAACCAUUUCCUAAUUGGUUUUGACACAUUGAGCACCUACAUGGAUGUCAUUUCGUUGAACAGCUUAGUAGAAAUAUGAAGUUAAGUGAAAUUACAGAGGCUGGAUGAUUGUUGGAGUAAAACCCAGCUGCUGAGACAAAUAGGCCCCUCCCUCGAAAUUAUCAACAGGGUUUGCUGUGCUCAGACAACUAUCAUUCAGUUCACAGUGCUCACACCGAGAAGGUGAGACUAUUCUAGGAGCAUGGUCAUUUGGAAUUAGGGCCACUGCAGAAUUCUCCCUUGCAAGUCUGAAUUCUGAUUUAGGCUGAAUUUUCAUGAAGAAUUAGAAUUCUCACUUGUCCCAAUUCUCACAAUAAUGAUUUGAGAUCAGAGCCAGAAUUCUUGCUUCAAAGUAAAAGAUUUCUGAGAGUAAAGAUAUUUUAUCAGAAAUGACAUCAAAGGCAGUCGGUCAUACUAGAUUAAAGUCAGAAUUCUUCACAAAUUCUCACUUUUGUCACUGCAAAUUUCAGCCAAGCUGUGUUGACGUGUCCUGGUUUGUAACCAAAAUAAGGAACGCUUCACGAAUUUGCGUGUCAUCCUUGCGCAGGGGCCAUGCUAAUCUUCUCUGUAUCGUUCCAAUUUUAGUUGAUGUAACAGCGAACUGUUACAUUUAGCAGAUGCUCUCUGAAGGCUUAAUAUAGGUGUGGCUGGAGUCAUCCCCUUGAGUCAUGGUGCAGCACUCACUGCUGAUUUGAGGUCCAGUGGCCAUGUUCUGCCGCCUCUCCAAGCAGGAAAUCAUUUCUCAAUUGGUUUUGACACAUUGAGCACCUACAUGGUUGUCAUUUUGUUGAACAGCUCAGUGGAAAUAUGAAGUUAAGUGGAAACUACAGAGGCUGGAUGAUUACUGGAGUGUAACCCAGCUGCUGAGACAAAUAGGCCCCUCCCCCAAAAUAUCAACAGGGUUUGCUGCGCUCAGACAACUAUCAUUCAGUUCACAGUGCUCAUACUGAGAAGGUGAGACUAUUCUAGGAGCAUGGUCAUUUGGAAUUAGGGCCACUCCUGGAACUGCAACCUUAUCGUGGUGGGGGAGUUUGUGUACCUUGAAUGAUCCUAGGAGCUAUGUUGUCGGGGGCGUUAUGCUCCUGGUAGGGUCUCCCAUGGCAAACAGGUCCUAGGUGACGGGUCAGACUAAGAGCAGUUCAGAAGCCCCGAUGACAAAACCAAAAACAUCAAGGACCGUGACGUCGCCCGGCAUGGCGCAGCCGGGGCCCCACCCUGGAGCCAGGCCUGGGGUUGGGGCUCGAAUGCGAGCGCCUGGUGGCCGGGCCUCUGCCCAUGGGGCCCGGCCGGGCCAAGCCCGA